rnacentral:tRNA from 1 species
GCUGAGGUAGCAAAGGAGGUAAUGCGGGAAGUCUAAGUUUUCUUUAUCGGGGGUUCGAGUCCCCUCUUUGGUU